rnacentral:ncRNA from 1 species
AAUAACGCGAUGAUAAGAAGAGUACGUUCGUAAUAACCGUUUAUAGAGAGCCUUGUUUGCUGAAAAUAGGUAAUGGAUAUUGAACCGAAGAUGGUCUUUGAGCAGAAUAAGUGAAUGCUUUGCAUAAGCCUAUUCCGGGUGCACCCGAUAACGUGCCACAGUAUAAAAAAGUUGAAAAAGACUUAAGUACUGAAUGAGGUUGAUUUAGUGAUGAAUUGACAAAUUAAGGUGGUAACACGAAAAUGCAAAACUUUCGUCCUUAUA